GUGCUCUCUUCAACAGCACAUAUACUAAAAUUGGAACAUUACCGAGAAGUUCAUGGCCCCUGUGUAAGUAUGAUAUGCAAAUUCGUGAAGCAUUCCAUAUUUUU